rnacentral:tRNA from 10 species
GGGGCUAUAGCGCAGCUGGUAGCGCAUCUGCUUUGCAAGCAGAGGGUCGCCGGUUCGAACCCGGCUAGCUCCACCU